ensembl:lncRNA
GUAUAUCAACUUGUCUUUAGUACAAGAUUUUUUUUUUUUAUUUUUAGCAUCCAUGGUUCCAUUCACCAAAUAUUUAUUUUCUUCCAUAUACAAAUAAUUCAUUCUAUUAAGCUUAUUUUCAGUUCAGCAUUCCAGAAAUUAAAUCUUGUGUUUUUUUUUACUUAUUCUACAAAGGAAGUUCAGCAGGUAUCCCAAUUUUACUAAAUGCUGAAAACUUUGUAAAAUGUUUCUUUGUGCACUAAAUAAUUUCUGGCCCAUACCCAGCAACUGUGAUGAAUGUAAUAAUGAAGUAACAUUUUGAAAGCAGACCUGAUACAUUAAGUAUUUAUUGAGCUUCUAUCAUAGGCUCAGUGUUGUGCUUUCUUUAUACUGUUUUUCUGUGACAGUCAUGCUGUUUUCUUUAUAUAAUUAAAAGUGGAGAUGUGGUGUUUAUAUAUAGUCCAGUUCCUUCGCAAUUGUACAGGAGGUUAUAGUAAGAAGAAACAGUAAAUUCGUAGAAGGGGGGCUAAGCUGCUAUUUUCUUCCUGAAGUUGUGACACAAGCUGACAAAAGCCAGGGAAUUCACAGCUGGGUGGUGGCACAAAGUACCAUAUGUUCUAAAAACAAUUAGGCCCAGCAGGGUGUCCCUAAUGGCUUCCUUGUUAAGCCUCUGGGGCCAGCUGAUCUGAAGCCUUGUGACAUGUCUCUCUGAGCUCUGAAUGCUUGGGCUUUUUUGUCACUUUGUCCUGAUACAAGUGUUUUCCUGUGGUCUUCAUUCUCUUGAGUUCAUUCAGUCUCCUGAAAUAUCUUCUGAUUCUUUCUGGAGAGAACAAUGUCUGUUCACAAAUCUGUACUCAUUCGCCUUGAAUUUUAGCAUCCAUGGACCUUUUUACGACUGUCCUUGCCUCUUUAUCACACUUUGUUUCUAAAAAAUGCUUUGCUGCCUGUUAAGAUGGGUUUAUUAUCUCGUUUCAGGCCUCUAAGGACAGAGAGUGAAGGGACAUUUCUAUUUACUUUGCUGCCACAGUUGUUUUUUUUUUUUUAAUCAGGAUGAAUUUCAACCACUGCAGAUGGUAUAUUUAAAUAAAUAGGAAUAAAAGAGAAAUGUUGAUACAUGUACAAAAAGGUAAAUACAAAUAUGCCUACUCUGUUCUGGGGAUGGAAGUGUCCUUUGUAGUUAUCCAAAGUAUUUUCUUAAGAAGUAUAUAUCAAAAGAGCCUUUCUUCUUUGCUGCUUUAAGUCUCCCUGUUUUGCUGAAUAGUUACUCGUUUAUUGACCUCUGCCACAGGGUGGGGAGUGUGGGCAGAUAAUUUAUAGGGCCAGCCAGAUGUUUUUGAGAUAGAUGGGAAUAUAGUCCAUAUUUUUUAAUUGGGUCAUUUUAACUAUGUAAUUACUCUGUUAAUGGCCACUGUUAGUAAAUCUUAAUACUUAAUUCAGAAGAACAGCUGAGCAUUUGAGACAUUCUUCAGUUGCUUUUUAAAUGAGAGUAGCUUUUCUAGUCUAUUAAAAUGUCCUUUUUUAGUCAAAGGUUAAUGGCUCAUUUUUCCUUCAGUCUAGGGGGUAUAUAUUUCAUUUCCCUUCUCUCCCGAUCCUUUUAAUACAAUAUUUAGCAGAAUUUAUUUGAUACCUUUCUCACAAAUGUCUUUUAUUCAUUAGUUGUCUCUUUCUUAUUUCCCAUAACCAGCACUAUCUUGGCCUUGUGAUCUAUUUAGAAUCAUUCUUUAUUGUCUUCUUCAAUUUUUGUACCCCGUUUACUUGGAGAAACUUGGCCUGCAGUGAACCUUAAUUUUUCCCACGUUAAUUUCUGACCCUAUAGGAAGAAAAUGGUGGUGUGUUACUGCCAUCUAAUGGAGAGAAGGAAAACUGCAGUGGGAAAACAAAGCGCAUUUAGGGCAGGGUUUUCUGAAGGAUUUCUGAUAGAGUCCUUAGCAGGAAAAUGAUGACACAGCAGUUGCCAUCUUGAAAUCUGCCCUUUCCACAGGAAAGGUGAUUUGCAACCUAAUACAGCCAUCGUCAGGAGGCCCCUGGACUAUGGUUGGAUCAUGACGUUUAGAGUCUGAAAUGGUUUCUCAAAAGAUCAUGGAGACAAGCAUCUCAUUUUUGUCACAUUCUUAACCGUUCAGUUACUUUGUCUGGGGCCUUAACAUUUUAAGUAUCAACUAAUACAUAAUGUUAAGUUUUGAAAAUAUUUGAAGAUUGUAUGUAAUACAGGUGCCUAUCUAUAGUACUUUAGUAAUUUAUAGUAUAUCAGAAGGAUUUUAUUAAAAUUUCUGGAUGUAUUGCAGUAGCCAACAUAAGCUGCAUGCCCUCCUGAAGAUGGUUUACUCUGAAAUGUAACUUUAAAUAAACAUUAUUCUAAGAAA